rnacentral:lncRNA from 1 species
CUGUGAAACCCCGUCUCUCCUAAAAAUACAAAUAUUAGCCGGGUGUGGUGGUGCAUGCCUGUAAUCCCAGCUGUUCGGGAAGGUGAGGCAGGAGAAUUGCUUGAACCCAGGAGGUGGAGGUUGCAGUGAGCUGAGAUCGCACCACUGCACUCCAGCGCGGGCAACACAACAACACUCCGUCUCAAAAAAAAAAAAGAAAAGAAAAGAAUCCAAAAAACAAAACAAAGAAAGAGGCAGAACUGGGAUUUAUGCAUGUUUGUCUGCAAAGCCAUUCUUUUAUCCUUCUUCCCACAGUGUCCAAGGAAGUUCUGCCGACUGGAACUGAACCAUAGCAAAUGCAUCUCCAUUUCCAUGAUUCAGUAGCUUUGAGUGACAAAGUAACUAAUCUCCAGCCCUGGUUAUUGAGAAACUCCUGAAUUGUUUGCACUGAGCUGCCGGUUUCAUCCAGAAUUCCUGGCAAAGGUGUUAGAACGGCUCCAUGAUUGAAUCACCAGUGAUUUUUAGUAUAAAUACGGCAGAGCUGGAAACCUGGAAAAUAGAACAAAAUGAAUGGAUUGGUUAUCCUACCGCUGAAGCAAUCAAAACAGCACAACUUGGGAAGAGAAAAUUUAGGGUUCACAAUUGUUUUUAGUUCUGUAAUUAAGCCAAUCAUUCGAACACAAAUAUGUUAUUUAAAAAUAAAAACCAUUUCCCUAGCUUUUAUCAGUAGACUCGUAACUUAUUUAUUUAUACCUUUAAUAGACUGUGACAGAAGAAUCCAGGUACUUAAAUUAAAAGAUGUAGGGGGAUGGUGGGGAAGGAGGAUUCUUCUAAAGUUCAACUAAAUCAUUCAAAUUAAAAAAUGUCCUUAAUGAUUUAAUUGGUUAGUAGUCACCCUGUGUAUACAACAUAAAUCCUUGAAAUGAUUAACAGAAGGGAAAGAUGGGUGGCAGCCCAUAACAGUCUCCUUAUUUAGAAAGCAUUUGGGGGCAGGUUUUAUAAUGCAGUCUUAAAAUAGCCGCUAACCAGAUUCUGAUUUCAGGAGCUGUAAGAAUGUGGAGGCCUUAGCCACAUCACCUGAGUGGUAAUUAGCAUUAAACGACACAGCAACCAUUUCUCAUUUCACACUUUAUAGGCC